CCCAAGAUGAAGAACUUCUUGCCAAACGUUAAUGUCAGAAAAUACGGCACCUAUGUUGCAGUGGUUGUGAUUUUUGUUCACAAUUAUGUGAUUGACAGGGAUGUACCGUGCACUUGCAAAGAAGGCGAUGGAGUGAUCUGCGGUUUAUAUGUGUUUAUGCCUUUCUUCAUUUUAUUGAUUUUACAACUCUGGACAGACGAGAAAUUUCAGAGAAUCUUCAAGUAUUCAUAUACAUGUGACAUGAAUUGUGAAGAUAAAUGGCGCUGUAGUUGCAGAUUUUUCAUGGUUUUACUUUAUCAGAUUAUGAAGGCUUUUUGCGUUGGUCUGCUUUGGGUGUUGGCCGUGUUAAUUGAUGGCGACUGGUACAUUUGCUGUAAUAUUAGCUAUGAUCAGACUUAUACAGACUUGGCCUGCAAAAAUGAAAAAACAUGUCGACAGAAAGAAAAUUGCAGAGAUGAAAAUUUCCUCCAUGGAAAUUGGCAUGGGUGUACUUUUAGGCGGCGUUUUUUGCGUUGCCUUGGGAACAGCAUUUGGAUGCAGAAACUGCCCGAGUUGUUGUGCUGGAAAACUUCUAUAUGAGGACGUGGUUUUGGAGGAGGGGGGGCAGUGUACGGACAGAGAUUUUAAGAAAAGCAGCUAAAAAGCAACUGAUCAAUCAAAUGUUGCAGACAUGUGACAAUAAAGACUGGGAGACAUUUUUGGAUGCUGCUGAUACUGUUCUGGAAAACAUCGAGCACACUGAUCAACAGAAGGAUGGAAAGAAGAUUCAACUGCAAACUCAAACAGUGACUCAACAGGUAACUAUAAGACCUGAACCGCUGAAACAAUUCACAGGUGAAGAAUGUCACGAAAUGACUGAGAUGGGCAGCAGUCAGCGAGGAAAAAAAGAACGAGAUGGACAGAAACAGGUACUGUCCACUGUGUCCACAACAGAAUGAGCAACAAGUGCUCAUGAUGCUCCACAACAAAACUGAUAUGUUCAUAAUCAAGCAGUGGAGGCCACAGAGAUGUUCAAUCUGUGGUAACAACAGUGGCUCAAAAUACGAGCAACCCAAACACCUGCAUAACCAUGCUGGAGUGAUCAUCAAACACCAUAAUAUACAUUAAUGUUGUUAUUAUUAUAAUCAUAACAAUAAUUAUUAUGUUAUUAAUUGUUUAAUUUUUUCAAAUUUUCAUCAAAUUGGA